rnacentral:rRNA from 1 species
GAUGAACGCUGGCGGCGUGCCUAACACAUGCAAGUCGAACGAACGGACGAUAAGCUUGCUUCUUUGAUGUUAGCGGCGGACGGGUGAGUAACACGUGGAUCACCUACUUAUAAGUCUGGGAUAACUUCGGGAAACCGGAGCUAAUACCGGAUAAUAUUUUGAACCGCAUGGUUCAAAAGUAAAAGACGGCCUUGCUGUCACUUAUAGAUGGAUCCGCGCUGCAUUAGCUAGUUGGUAAGGUAACGGCUUACCAAGGCUACGAUGCAUAGCCGACCUGAGAGGAUGAUCGGCCACACUGGAACUGAGACACGGUCCAGACUCCUACGGGAGGCAGCAGUAGGGAAUCUUCCGCAAUGGGCGAAAGCCUGACGGAGCAACGCCGCGUGAGUGAUGAAGGUCUUCGGAUCGUAAAGCUCUGUUAUUAGGGAAGAACAUAUGUGUAAUUAACUGUGCACAUCUUGACGGUACCUAAUCAGAAAGCAACGGCUAACUACGUG